GUCUAUGGCCAUACCACCCUGAAUACACCCAAUCUAAUCUUAUUUUAGAAGCUAAGCAGGAUCGGGCCUGGUUAGUACUUGGAUGGGAGGCGGUGCUUCUCCAACUGAAAAUUUUCAAACAGAGGUUGGAU
rnacentral:rRNA from 1 species